rnacentral:rRNA from 1 species
AAGAAAAAAUUAAUUAAAAUUAUAUUAUAAUAAAAUUAAUUUUAAUUUAUUUAAUAAUUUAAUGGGGGUUAAAGUAUUAUUUAAAGAAAAAAUUAAUAAUUUUAUAGUUAAUUAGUAUUGUAAAAGAAUUUUGAAAUAUGUGAAAAUAAAUUUGUUUAAAAGUAAUUUUAAUUUAAUGUAUCUUGUGUAUCAGAGUUUAUUAAAAAUUUUUAAUAAAUAAAUUAAUUUCUCGAAUUUAAAAGAUUUAAAUAAUUAAAAAAUUUAUUGUAGCAAAAAUAUUUUUAAUAAUUAUUUUGAAAUGAAAUGUUAAUCGUUUUUAAAUAUAUCUAGUUUUUUUAGAAAAAAAUUUAAUUUUAAAUUUAUUAAAUAAUAAAUUUCAUUGGUUAAUUUUAUUAAUAAUAAAUUUUAUAUUUUAAGGGAUAAGCUUUAAAUUAAAUUUUUAUAAUAAAAAUUUUAAUUUUGAAAAUUUUAUAAUUUAUAUUGUUAAUAAAUUUUAUUUUAUUAUAAAUAAUUUCAUUUAAAUAAAAAUUUAAUUUUAUAUUUAAUUUUAUAUAAAAAAAAAAAUAAUUUUUAAUAAAAUAAAUUUAGUUAUAAUGAUAAAAUUAGUAUAUAAUUAAAAAUUUAAUUAAUUAAAAAUUAAUUAAAUUUAUUAAAUAUUUUAUUUAUAAUUAAAUUAAUUAAAAGGAAUUCGGCAAAAAAUUAUUUUCACUUGUUUAUCAAAAACAUGUCUUUUUGAGUUUAUUUAAAGUUUAAUCUGCCCCCUGAUUUUAUUAAAGGGCUGCAGUAUUUUGACUGUACAAAGGUAGCAUAAUCAUUAGUCUCUUAAUUGGUGACUUGUAUGAAAGAUUGGAUGAGAAAUAUACUGUCUCUUAAUUAUUAUAUAGAAUUUAAUUUUUUAUUUAAAAAGUUAAAAUAAAUUAAAAAGACGAGAAGACCCUAUAGAGUUUUAUAGUUAUUUAUAUUAAUAGAUUAUUUGUAUAAUAAAAAUUAUUAUAUUAGUAAUUAUUUUGUUGGGGUGAUAAAAAAAUAAAUUUAACUUUUUUUUAUUUUUAACAUAAAUAAGUGAAUAAUUGAUCCAAUUUUAUUGAUUAUAAGAUUAAAUUACCUUAGGGAUAACAGCGUAAUUUUUUUUUUUAGUUCAUAUAAGAAAAAGAGUUUGCGACCUCGAUGUUGGAUUAAGAUAAAAUUUAAAUGCAAAAGUUUAAAAUUUUGAUCUGUUCGAUCAUUAAAAUCUUACAUGAUCUGAGUUCAAACCGGUGUGAGCCAGGUUGGUUUCUAUCUUUUAAAAUAUUUAAUAUUUUAGUACGAAAGGAUCAAAUAUUAUAAUUAAAUUAUUAUUUAUUAAUGAAUUUUAUUAAAUAAAAAUAAAAAUUUUUAUG